GAGUCGACCCCUAAGGCGAGGCCGAAAGGCGUAGUCGAUGGGAAACAGGUUAAUAUUCCUGUACUUGGUGUUACUGCGAAGGGGGGACGGAGAAGGCUAUGUUAGCCGGGCGACGGUUGUCCCGGUUUAAGCAUGUAGGCUGGUUAUCCAGGCAAAUCCGGAUAAUCAAGGCUGAGGUGUGAUGACGAGGCACUACGGUGCUGAAGUAACAAAUGCCCUGCUUCCAGGAAAAGCCUCUAAGCAUCAGGUAACAUCAAAUCGUACCCCAAACCGACACAGGUGGUCAGGUAGAGAAUACCAAGGCGCUUGAGAGAACUCGGGUGAAGGAACUAGGCAAAAUGGUGCCGUAACUUCGGGAGAAGGCACGCUGGUGUGUAGGUGAAGUCCCUGCGGAUGGAGCUGAGACCAGUCGAAGAUACCAGCUGGCUGCAACUGUUUAUUAAAAACACAGCACUGUGCAAACACGAAAGUGGACGUAUACGGUGUGACGCCUGCCCGGUGCCGGAAGGUUAAUUGAUGGGGUUAUCCGUAAGGAGAAGCUCUUGAUCGAAGCCCCGGUAAACGGCGGCCGUAACUAUAACGGUCCUAAGGUAGCGAAAUUCCUUGUCGGGUAAGUUCCGACCUGCACGAAUGGCGUAAUGAUGGCCAGGCUGUCUCCACCCGAGACUCAGUGAAAUUGAACUCGCUGUGAAGAUGCAGUGUACCCGCGGCAAGACGGAAAGACCCCGUGAACCUUUACUAUAGCUUGACACUGAACAUUGAGCCUUGAUGUGUAGGAUAGGUGGGAGGCUUUGAAGCGUGGACGCCAGUCUGCGUGGAGCCAACCUUGAAAUACCACCCUUUAAUGUUUGAUGUUCUAACGUUGGCCCCUGACCGGGGUUGCGGACAGUGUCUGGUGGGUAGUUUGACUGGGGCGGUCUCCUCCCAAAGCGUAACGGAGGAGCACGAAGGUUAGCUAAUCCUGGUCGGACAUCAGGAGGUUAGUGCAAUGGCAUAAGCUAGCUUGACUGCGAGCGUGACGGCGCGAGCAGGUGCGAAAGCAGGUCAUAGUGAUCCGGUGGUUCUGAAUGGAAGGGCCAUCGCUCAACGGAUAAAAGGUACUCCGGGGAUAACAGGCUGAUACCGCCCAAGAGUUCAUAUCGACGGCGGUGUUUGGCACCUCGAUGUCGGCUCAUCACAUCCUGGGGCUGAAGUAGGUCCCAAGGGUAUGGCUGUUCGCCAUUUAAAGUGGUACGCGAGCUGGGUUUAGAACGUCGUGAGACAGUUCGGUCCCUAUCUGCCGUGGGCGCUGGAGAAUUGAGGGGGGCUGCUCCUAGUACGAGAGGACCGGAGUGGACGCAUCACUGGUGUUCGGGUUGUCAUGCCAAUGGCACUGCCCGGUAGCUAAAUGCGGAAGAGAUAAGUGCUGAAAGCAUCUAAGCACGAAACUUGCCCCGAGAUGAGUUCUCCCUGAGACUU
rnacentral:rRNA from 1 species